GUUAUUUUGGGCAGUGCAUCUGGACUUGGUUCAAGUGGCACCAGCCAAAUCCCUGCCUUACUGACCUCUCCCCUGGAGGAGCAGGAGCAGCGCUCAAGGCCGCCUUGGGAGGGCUGAGAGGCAGGCUCUGGACUGGGGACACAGGGAUAGCUGAGCCCCAGCUGGGGGUGGAAGCUGAGCCAGAGACAGUCACAGAGGAACAAGAUCAAGAUGCGCUUUAACUGAGAAGCCCCCAAGGCAGAGGCUGAGAAUCAGAAGACAUUUCAGCAGACAUCUACAAAUCUGAAGGACAAAACAUGGUUCAAGCAUCUGGGCACAGGCGAACAUACAUAUGAUAGUUGAGAAAGACACAUAUUCUGAUCAUGAAGAAAUAAACACAAGUUAAAUAUGACUAAGCAGAAAGAUGGAAGGACCAGGAACGGUGAUGCUAACUUGGAACCACGAUGCAGGCUCUAAACUCCUCUACAAUCAUCCUCCCUUGUGAGAAAAAUACGGCUGCCGCAGUUUGCUGGGGGUCCACUCCAGACCCUAUUCACUUGGUCCCUCCCCUACCUGGAGGUGUCACCAGUGGAAGCUGCAGAACAGCAAGGAUGGCUGCCUGCUCCUUCUUUUUUGAGCUCCAUCCCAGAGGGGCACUGAUGUGAUGCCAGCAGGAACACUCCUGUAUAAGAUAAGAUCUAAGGCACAUGAGAUGAUAUGCUUUCUGUUUGAGUUUCUCCUUUAUGUUACGCAUACUGAUAAAAUUGUUGAUGCCAGUUGAUCUGAAGGUCCCAGCAAGGAGCCGACUCACAGAAGAAUGCAGUUUUCACAUCAUGAUGAUUUAAUCUUCCUUGACCUGAGCAAUUGACAACCCCAAUUCUCCAGAACCUCACCCGCCACAAUCCCCUUAAAAACCCUGGCCCAGAACCCCUCAAGCAGACAGAUGUGAAGCUUGAGGAUUCCUUCAUCUCUUUGCCCAAUGGCAUUGUGAUUAUUAAACUCUUUUUCUGCUGCAAAUUAUGAUGUCUC
rnacentral:lncRNA from 1 species